UGAAAUGAUCAGGUCGUUGCCGAUCCGCAUAUAGUCGCCGGAGAACAGCAGAUGUGCGUCGGGAACAACGACUUGGUUGUCCGACAUAUGAUGCUGAACGAAAUUUUGCUUCGAAUCGAAAGAAUCGCUCUCCGCCCAGUGAAACUGGGGAGUCGUGCGAUAACCCGGCAUCAAAUGGUCCGGAAAAAUUCAAACUCAGCCCGCCCGUCUGAAAAUUAUUCUUAAGAAAU
rnacentral:misc_RNA from 1 species